AAGUUAAUUAAUUAACUUUUGGCUGUGCUGGGUCUUCGUUGCUGCCCAGGCUUUUCUCUAGCUGCAGUGAGCAGGAGCUAUUCUUCAUUGUGAUAUGCAGGCAUUUUAUUAUGGUGGCUUCUCUUGUCGUGGGACACAGGAUCCAGGGUGUGUGGGCUUCAGUAGCUGUGGCACGGGGGCUCAGUAGUUGCACCGCCCAGGCUCUAGAGCACAGGCUCAAUAGUUGUGGUGCACGGGCCUAGUUGCUCCUUGGCAUGUGGGAUCCUCUCAGACCAGGGAUUGAACCUGUGUCUCCUGCAUUGGCAGGCAGAUUCUUUUACCACUGAGCUACCAGGGAAGCCCAAUGCUAAGCCAUUGUAUCAGAAGGUAGAGAAGUAGAAGCUUCAGUUGGUCCCUGACCAUCAUCUGAAAUCACCAGUGCACGAGGAGUGUUCUCUUUUCUGCUCUCAACAGCAGAAACCAUACUUAACUGACUCCAACUCUGAAGGCGGUGUAACAUGCUGGUUCAUUAUAAGGAUCAGUUAUCAAGCUUCUAUUUUGAGUUCCAAAAGCUAAAUCCCAAAAUUGACUUCAAGCUACAGAAUGAAAGGUUGAGAAAAGUUCAACUUGGAGACAACAGACCAUCUUACUACUGUUCAUGAGAGAUUCCUGCACAAGUUGAUCAGGAAGGUAUCAAUUCUCCAUGGGCCUGGAAUCAGGGCAAGCAGCCUUGGAAAUUUCAGCUGACUCUCACCAGGAAGGACACAAGCACAGCAUUUGGGUAACACAUUUAGCAAACUGAUAGGGCACUGAUUAGAAGGCAAUAAACUCCCUUCGUUGUACUAGCCAGUGGGUUCAGACUGGUGAGGAGGUGGCCUUGAACCCUAUCCUUUGGAGAAGACCACAGUCUCAGGGGAAAAGUCUUUAAUUAUUUUUUUCUGAGGCUUUAAAUAAACUAAAUUCUAUGAGAAGACAUGCUCAAAAUCCAACCAGAGAGGCGCCUGUAAUCUGCAAGUUUUCAGACAUUUGUUCUGAGGUCGAAGAGCUGCAAAAAAGAAAGGUGUCAGUCUCGAUUUGAGCUUCCGUGUUUGUAAACUCAGCCAGUUCAUGCCUGGUUGGUUAUGUCCUCGGGUCUUCCCUCAUUCGUGGUGGUAACUGCCAAAUCCUGGGCCUCCCACAAAGAUGUGAGGCUUCUGGAG
ensembl:lncRNA